rnacentral:rRNA from 1 species
GAUGAACGCUAGCGGCAGGCCUAACACAUGCAAGUCGAGGGAGAAGCCCUUUCGGGGGCAGAAACCGGCGCACGGGUGCGUAACGCGUAUGCAACCUACCUUUCACAGGGGGAUAGCCCGAAGAAAUUUGGAUUAAUACCCCAUAAUAUUAUUGGAUGGCAUCAUUUGAUAAUUAAAACUGCGGUGGUGAAAGAUGGGCAUGCGUCCUAUUAGCUAGUUGGAGUGGUAACGGCACCCCAAGGCUACGAUAGGUAGGGGUCCUGAGAGGGAGAUCCCCCACACUGGUACUGAGACAGGGACCAGACUCCUACGGGAGGCAGCAGUGAGGAAUAUUGGUCAAUGGUCGGAAGACUGAACCAGCCAUGCCGCGUGCAGGAAGAAUGCCUUAUGGGUUGUAAACUGCUUUUAUAUGGGAAGAAUAAGGUGUACGUGUACAUUGAUGACGGUACCAUAGGAAUAAGCAUCGGCUAACUCCGU